rnacentral:tRNA from 1 species
UCCCUGGCAGUUCAAUGGUUAAGACUCUGCACUUCCACUGCAGGGGGCAUGGGUUCAAUCCCUGGUUAGGGAA